UACGUAGGGGGCUAGCGUUGUCCGGAAUCAUUGGGCGUAAAGCGCGUGUAGGCGGCCCGGUAAGUCCGCUCUGAAAGUCGGGGGCUCAACCCUCGGAUGCGGGUGGAUACUGUCGGGCUUGAGUGCGGAAGAGGCGAGUGGAAUUCCUGGUGUAGCGGGUGAAAUGCGCAGGAUAUCAGGAAGAACACCCCGUGGCGAAGGCGGCUCUCUGG
rnacentral:rRNA from 1 species